ensembl:lincRNA
CAGGGAUUGAACCUGAUACCCCUGCAUUGGUGGUAUGGAGUCUUAACCACUGGACCACCAGGGGAGUCUCACGCCGUUCUCUUUCUUAGUAUUGCUCCCUGUCUGUCUCUGUCUUUUAUUUCCCUUCUCUCUGUCCGUCCCUUCUCCCUCUUUCUCUCUCUCUCUCAAUGUUUGUGGACAUUGCUUUCUUUACCUGUGAGUGUAUGAUGCCUGGAUAGUCAGGGAUUCCCUUUGUGUGUGUAUCUGCCUGGAUGGCCCUGCUCCCUCUCAUUGUUUAUGGAACAUGAUGUAUAUUUGCACACCUGGUAGUUGGUGUGUUCUCUUUGGGACCCCAGAAGUCUGUGUGUGUCUGUGUUGGAAACAUGGGCUUCCUAUUCGUGUUUAUCUGUGUGCCCUAGUGUCUGUGUACACUUUGAUGGUUUGAAGAUUCUGAGUGUGUUCCUGAAUAUUCCCCUCUGUCUCUGUGUUUGUUUCUGCCUGCUCCCUUGGAUGCUUGCAUUUCUCUGCGGUAUGAUACCUGGGGGUCCAUGCUCUCCUCCCUCCCCCCAAAGGAUGUGAUCCCUCGUGUGUAACCCCCCAGAGGGGUGUUUGUUUAUCCCUCACUUCCUCUCCAAGAAACCAGGGUUUUCCCACCAUCGCAAAUCCAUGAACUUUUCAAAUUGUUGCCCACAGGUUAAACCUUCAUGAUCUAGACCAGAGGUUGGCAAGCUUUUCCUUAAGGGGUCAGACGCCCACAACGUGGAUCCCAGGAGGGAACAGGAAGUGGCUUGAGAAAAUAAACCCAGCUCACUGGUCCUGUGGAUGGCGCCCUCUCCACACCAGAAAGCGGCAAGCAGGCUUGGAGAAAUAUAUCCUGGUGGGCACCAUUUUCUCCAGAGUCCAAUGGGGCAAACAACAGUCCCAGCUGGAUUCAACGAAGAGCUUAGAGGUAAGCAGUCAUACUAACACUUGGCUCUCAAGGCCCCACAGUUUCCAAGUUCUGGAGUCUUCUUUACCUCAGGCAGUGCUGUCAGGCAGACUUUUGAAAGACCGGGAGGGAUUUGCAGUCGUUGUUGUCAUUUAGUCUCUAAGUUACAUCUGCAUCUUUGCGACCACAUGGACUGUAGCCCACCAGGCUCCUCUGUCCAUGGGAUUUCCCAGGCAAGAAUACUGGAGUGGGGUGCCGUUUCCUUCUCCAGAGGAUCUUCCUGACUCAGGGAUCGAGCCUGCGUCUCCUGCACUGGUAGGCGAAUCCUUUACCACGGAGCCACCAGGAUAGCCCGAAGGGGUUAAUUCUUCCCGCUCUUGGGUCACCUCACCUCAGAGCUCUCCCUAGUUCGUGAGAGACCUGGCCCCUGGUACGGUGUCAAAGAGGGUGUGGUGACUGUCUCCAGGCCUCCCGUCUCCUGCUCAUGGUGCAUAAUAGCUCUGAUUAGUAUUAAUAAUUGAUUUAUACAGCACCUUUUACAAGCCUCUCUGCCAUCGGCCCCUGUGAGGACACACGCAUCACUUCCCUUCACCCCCAGAUGAUAAGCUGCCAUCCAAUGGGGUGGGAGGUGGCGGCAGGCACCAGUCACCUCGGUGGCGCCAAUGACGAGGCGAGGAGACAGUCUGAUGCAGGAAGUAAGGCUGUGUCUUAUCUCCUCUGGCUGGGGUGGGGGGGGGGGGGUGGGCGGAGGUGAUUCUGGACUUGUUAUUAAUUAGCUGAAGGAUCAACUCCCUGAGAAACCCAGGUGAAGAAAGUAUCUUUCCGUCGCGGGGCAAGGAGGGGCAAUUUCCCUUGGUGCUGGGUUACUCCAC